AUGCACUGGAUUUCUUGGAAGGAACUGACAACACCAAAGUGUAAGGGUGGGAUGGGAUUUCGAGAUCUCCACCUUUUCAACAUAGCACUACUGGGUAAACAAGGCUGGCGCUUGAUCACGAAGCCUAAUACCCUAUGUGCAAGAGUACUCAAGGGCAGGUACUUCCCCGACACAGACUUCAUGCACGCUAGAACUCCAAGUUCUUCCUCCGCCACCUGGAGGGCCAUCAUAGCGGGCAGGGAG
rnacentral:rRNA from 1 species